rnacentral:lncRNA from 1 species
GGAACACCAACUGGAGAACCUGUGUAGCGGUAAAUUCAUUACCAUCAAGCUAUGGAUAAGCUUAACGUUAAUAAAACCAGAGUCGCCACCGCGCUUUUAUUGUUUCCAGAGGAAAAGGGAAAAGUACGAACAAAACCCAAAGAUUAGAAGUUUUCAAAUCAAAACUAAUAAAAUUUCAGAGAUUACAGGUAAGGGGGUUGGUUACACAGAGGGAAGAUGUUAGCACCCAAAGUU